rnacentral:tRNA from 1 species
GGCUCUGUGGCUUAAAUGGAUAGCGCAUUGGACUUCUAAGUAGCACUUGGUGGAGUGAUUCAAAGGUUGUGGGUUCGAGUCCCACCAGAGUUG